AUUGAACGCUGGCGGCAUGCCUUACACAUGCAAGUCGAACGGCAGCACGGACUUCGGUCUGGUGGCGAGUGGCGAACGGGUGAGUAAUGUAUCGGAACGUACCAUUGAGUGGGGGAUAACGUAGCGAAAGUUACGCUAAUACCGCAUAUUCUCUCCGGAGGAAAGCAGGGGACCGCAAGGCCUUGCGCUCUUUGAGCGGCCGAUAUCAGAUUAGCUAGUUGGUGGGGUAAAAGCUCACCAAGGCGACGAUCUGUAGCGGGUCUGAGAGGAUGUUCCGCCACACUGGAACUGAGACACGGUCCAGACUCCUACGGGAGGCAGCAGUGGGGAAUUUUGGACAAUGGGGGCAACCCUGAUCCAGCCAUGCCGCGUGAGUGAAGAAGGCCUUCGGGUUGUAAAGCUCUUUCGGCCGGGAAAAAAUCGCAUGGAUUAAUACUCUGUGUGGAUGAUGGUACCGGAAUAAGAAGCACCGGCUAACUACGUGCCAGCAGCCGCGGUAACAC
rnacentral:rRNA from 1 species